GACGAACGCUGGCGGCGCGCCUAACACAUGCAAGUCGAACGGAGCACAGAGGAGGAAGUUUUCGGACAGAAUUUUUUGUUGCUUAGUGGCGAACGGGUGAGUAACACGUGAGUAACCUACCUUUUAGAGGGGGACAACAUUCGGAAACGGAUGCUAAUACCGCAUAAGACCACGGAACCGCAUGGUUCUGAGGCCAAAGGAUUUAUCCGCUUAAAGAUGGACUCGCGUCCGAUUAGCUAGAUGGUGAGGUAAAGGCUCACCAUGGCGACGAUCGGUAGCCGGACUGAGAGGUUGAACGGCCACAUUGGGACUGAGACACGGCCCAGACUCCUACGGGAGGCAGCAGUGGGGAAUAUUGCACAAUGGGCGAAAGCCUGAUGCAGCGACGCCGCGUGGAGGAAGAAGGUUUUCGGAUUGUAAACUCCUGUCCCCGGGGACGAUAAUGACGCUACCCGGGAAGAAAGCCACGGCUAACUACGUGCCAGCAGCCGCGGUAAAACGUAGGUGGCAAGCGUUGUCCGGAAUUACUGGGUGUAAAGGGAGCGCANGCGGGUGCGCAAGUUGAAUGUGAAAACUAUGGGCUCAACCCAUAGACUGCGUUCAAAACUGUGCAUCUUGAGUAAUGUAGAGGUAGGCGGAAUUCCCGGUGUAGCGGUGGAAUGCGUAGAUAUCGGGAGGAACACCAGUGGCGAAGGCGGCCUACUGGGCAUUUACUGACGCUGAGGCUCGAAAGUAUGGGUAGCAAACAGGAUUAGAUACCCUGGUAGUCCAUACUGUAAACGAUGAUUACUAGGUGUGGGGGGAUAGACCCCCUCCGUGCCGCAGCAAACGCAAUAAGUAAUCCACCUGGGGAGUACGGCCGCAAGGCUGAAACUCAAAUGAAUUGACGG
rnacentral:rRNA from 1 species